UACGUAGGGCGCAAGCGUUGUCCGGAAUUAUUGGGCGUAAAGAGCUCGUAGGCGGCUCGUCGCGUCGGCUGUGAAAUUCCGCAGCUCAACUGUGGGCUUGCAGCUGAUACGGGCGGGCUAGAGUUCGGUAGGGGAGACUGGAAUUCCUGGUGUAGCGGUGAAAUGCGCAGAUAUCAGGAGGAACACCGGUGGCGAAGGCGGGUCUCUGGGCCGAUACUGACGCUGAGGAGCGAAAGCGUGGGGAGCGAACAGG
rnacentral:rRNA from 1 species